UAAAUAUUUCUAAGGAAAAGAUCAAUUUUAUGUUUCUGUCUCAUGAAGAUAAGAAAAUUUACAAAAAUAUUCUACAGUAAAUGAAAAACACUCUUAUUUAGGCUGUUUGAGGCCUAGAUAAGAUGUAUAUCCUGAUGCAGCUAGGACGCCUUUUUAGAUGAGGCGUCUAUAUACCUUGGGAUAUAGCUCAUUUGGGUCAAGCAAGCCCAUAAAACAGCCGCUCAGCACCAGGACCUUGGGACUUUCUAUUUAUAACGUUCCCGAAGUCUCCCUUGGUAGUUUUUUCCUCUACAAAAUGUUGUCACUACCGCCUCUCAUUGUGCCACUAGGCGGCACUCUAAGUUCAUCGUAAAUGCGAGGACCGAGCGCCAACUAAAAUAUGCUGCAGGCAUCUCCAUUGUGCAAAAUUGGUAGCAGUUUGGGUUUUAUUUCAUUCAAACUUUAGAAUGGAAAAUGAUUGUUUCUAAACGAGGCAACAAGGCAGGCCGUAUGGUUUAACUGAGUCUGAGAGUAUGUGGUCUUUGGAAUACGGUUACUGCGUCAUCUCCCUCUACAGGGCAUCAUCUCAGACCAGGAAGGCAAAGCUGCCGGGCACAGUAACAGGGUUGCAGUGACACCUGAGGGUGGCCCUCUCCUCCUCUGUGCUGCUCCCUUUGGACGUGGGAACUGGAAGAUGCCUUGGUCGCCUAGGAAGUCAACUGCUGCUUCUCAAGCGGUUUAUAAGACCCAAAGAUCUUGUCCAGUCCUGCGCAUGCGAAUAGAGGUGACGUCUCUAAUCAGCAGCCUCAGAAGGAACGCUUUUCACUCCAGGAGGGCAGAGGGGAGGCCGACUGCGGGACUCGUCUCGCCCUGAUGCCUAGGCUGGAGUCUGGAGUGCAGUGUUAUGAUCUCGGCUCACUUCAACCUCUGCCCAGGCUGGAGUCUGGAGUGCAGUGUUAUGAUCUCGGCUCACUUCAACCUCUGCCCAGGCUGGAGUCUGGAGUGCAGUGUUAUGAUCUCGGCUCACUUCAACCUCUGCCUUCUGAGUUCAAGUGAUUCUCCUGCCUCAGCCUCCUGAGCAGUUGGGAUUACAGGCGUGAGCCACCUCGUCUGGCUGGGAUUUCUUGAUAGACUACAAAAAGGGGAUGCUGAAAAGGGAAUGGGGCUUUUGGGUUCAGAUUAGGCCAGACAGGUUGAUGAUAUCAGAAGGUGUCCAUGUAGAGAUAAAUGGAAUAUUACAUAUCCUAUUGUAUUUAAUUUUCACAAAAUCAUGUAAGAUUAGGAUAAGUAUUGGAUCUCCAUUUCACAGAUGAUACCGAACUUGCUGUACCUUCAAUCUGUUUCCUGAGUGUGAAUAUGUGCCCUUUUCUACCUUUAAAUUCUUUGUCUUAUGUUUUGGUUCAUUUGGAUUCUCCUUGCUGGACACUUUCUCUCUGAACACAUUCGAUUUAUCUGUAUCCCUCUCUAGUCGUGGCCUCCAGUAGAACACUGCAGCACUGCAGCUGGUCUGAUAACACAGAGUAGAACAAGAUCUUCUGAUUUAGGAAGUAUACUUCUAUUCACCUACUAUAACAUAUGAAUGACUCCUAGGAAAUCAGUUGAUCUGGGAUUGAGAGGUCAAGUUUGUAUGAAACCCUGAGAAAAUAGCAUUUAAGACUGAAAGCAAACUGCUAAGAAACAUAAGGAAGGGUCCUAUAUAAUACUUCUGGUGUACAAUGUAAGACAUUAUUUUCUCACAGUUUUUUAUCCAGAUUUCCUCAUACUUUAAUGCCAUUUUUAUGUUUACAAAUUAAUUAUUGGACUGUUGCUGCUAGGAAAGAAAAAGUGAGUAAAGUACACAUAUAUGCCUUUUUAUAUAUUUGAUUUAUAGUAGAUAUUUAGCCAAGAUCAACAGUGAAUGUUGACAGUGUAUCCAGCUGGAGGAAUCUUUUUUUUUGGAGUGGUUAUUCUGUUACAUUCACCUUCCCUAAAAAUCUUUGAUUUAUGGCUCACUAGAGUUCUACUUAAAUGAAAUCCAAUGUAUUCGCUAAGUUUUUUUUUCCAUAUAAUUCCAACUCUAUACUCAGUGCCUUACUUUCUUUAAUCAGUAGCAGAAUAAAAUUUGAAACUGGCUUUACAAUUUUAAUUUACAUAACACCUUUUCAGUGGCUCAUUACAUUUCCUUUGCUUCAGUAAGAUUCAGGUGGUAAACAGUCAAUA